UUUGCCCUUAGGACAAAAAAAAAAAAAACAUAAUUGAAUAUCAGGAAAAAGAAAACACAGCCGUCCUCAUAAAAUGAAAUAUUCAAGACUAUACAAAUUGAUUACCAUUGGAACAAGUGCUUUCUGCCUUAAAUUAGCAUUGUCACGCAAGGUUGCCUCAGUAGCUGCAUCAGAAGACAAGGAAUUGCCAUUACUUGUGUUUCAUUCAUCUCAAGCUUCUAGUUCUAACUCUAUAGUAAAUUUUCAGCCAUUAGCAAUAUUUCAAUUUAAAUCUGCUUGCCCUAAACUCUACCUCCCAUUAAAUCACUCUGUAGUCUGUAAGUAUGAAAGGAAACAUACCGACAAUAGCUUUUGAAGCGUCGCUCGUGCCUCCUUCCAGGCAGGCCUUCCCAGAGCCAAAAGCUUGUUCAGAUUAGGCUGCAAUCAAAACAUUGCAUGUAGCACAGCGAUUACUUGACUAAAAUAAGGGACACACGUUUGCUACUGUAGACGAUUAUAGUAAGUUUGUAUGUUUAGUACUAUUAAUACACAUAUUUUCUCAUUAAUUAUCUCAUAAAUACCUUUAUUAAUUAUCUUAUGAUACCAACAACAACCAAACUAAAUAUCAUGUUUCAUAUUGGAUUCGGUCCACCAAUGAUGGUUGACCCGAUCCGUUAGGGUUAUAAAUUUAAGACUAACCUAUGAUAUGCAAUAUUUUAAUAUUGCCCUGGGCAGUUAUUAAAAAUAACUGUCACUCUCUCUCUUAUUUAAUAAAGCAUAACUUCUAUUGGGAGAGAGAGGUAGAAAGAAAACUGACGUUGAAAACACACCAAAAGAAUACAGUACUCUUUCAAUUCAAUUCUCUGGAAGAAUUCUUGCAGAAACGAGAGAGAAAAUCAGCAAAGUGUGUUGUGGAAACUCCCAGGAGUGCAUCAAAUUGCCAAAUCAUCAUCAAUUGCCAUAUUCAAGAAACCGGGAACUACUAUAAACAGAAAACAAGAACCAUAAAUCAACGAACCUGAAGAAAACAAUCAGAGUCCUUGAGGAUCGGGCUGUUGAAGAGACCGGCUUUGGCAAUCUCGGAGAGGUCCAACACGUAAUCCCCGAUUGCCACGCCAGGUCGAGGAGAUGAAUCCUGUUGCAGCUUGAAGACUCCAUACGGAAGGUUAUGGAUAGAGAAAUGAGAGCCUGGCUCGACUUCGAUGAACGACUGCAAAGCCAUUGCGAUUCAAUGAAACCACGCCGUGUAGAGCGAGGCCCGGUGACUUGUAGUGAAAGUGAGGGGCGUCGUAGUUAUACACGGAAACUUGUGGUUGGUUGGUGUACUCGUUGUAAGUGUGCAACGUAUUUUACGGGGAUUUCCAAAAGAAAAAUAAUUUCCUGGAUAAUGUAACGUGAGUUUGGCCUGGAAGUGGUAGCUAGAAGGAAACUGACAAUUUACGAUAA